rnacentral:rRNA from 1 species
AGAGUUUGAUCCUGGCUCAGGAUGAACGCUAGCUACAGGCUUAACACAUGCAAGUCGAGGGGAAACGACAUCGAAAGCUUGCUUUUGAUGGGCGUCGACCGGCGCACGGGUGAGUAACGCGUAUCCAACCUGCCCACCACUUGGGGAUAACCUUGCGAAAGUAAGACUAAUACCCAAUGACGUCUCUAGAAGACAUCUGAAAGAGAUUAAAGAUUUAUCGGUGAUGGAUGGGGAUGCGUCUGAUUAGCUUGUUGGCGGGGUAACGGCCACCAAGGCUACGAUCAGUAGGGGUUCUGAGAGGUUGAACGGCCACAUUGGGACUGAGAUACGGCCCAGACUCCUACGGGAGGCA